AUCCACAUGGUGAGUCCAGAAUAGGACGAAACGCGUGUCCUGGAU
rnacentral:hammerhead_ribozyme from 1 species